rnacentral:rRNA from 1 species
UUCGCCUUCCAUGAAGCUGGAAUUGCUAGUAAUGGCAGGUCAGCAUACUGCCGUGAAUACGUUCCCGGGCCUUGUACACACCGCCCGUCACACCAUGAGAGUUGGAAAUACCCGAAGCCUGUGAGCUAACAGUAAUGAGGCAGCAGUCGAAGGUAGAGCCAAUGAUUGGGGUGAAGUCGUAACAAGGUAAC